rnacentral:rRNA from 1 species
GACGUAGGGCGCGAGCGUUGUCCGGAUUUAUUGGGCGUAAAGAGCUCGUAGGCGGCUUGUCGCGUCGAGUGUGAAAUCCUGCGGCUCAACUGCAGGCUUGCAUUCGAUACGGGCAGGCUGGAGUUCGGUAGGGGAGACUGGAAUUCCUGGUGUAGUGGUGAAAUGCGUAGAUAUCGGGAGGAACACCAGUGGCGAAAGCGGCUACCUGGCCCAUUCUUGACGCUGAGGCGCGAAAGCUAGGGGAGCAAACGGG